AUUGAACGCUGGCGGAAUGCUUUACACAUGCAAGUCGAACGGCAGCACGGGUGCUUGCACCUGGUGGCGAGUGGCGGACGGGUGAGUAAUACAUCGGAACGUACCCAGUUGUGGGGGAUAACUAACCGAAAGGUUAGCUAAUACCGCAUACGACCUGAGGGUGAAAGCGGGGGACCGUAAGGCCUCGCGCCAUUGGAGCGGCCGAUGUCUGAUUAGCUAGUUGGUAGGGUAAAGGCCUACCAAGGCGACGAUCAGUAGCUGGUCUGAGAGGAUGAUCAGCCACACUGGAACUGAGACACGGUCCAGACUCCUACGGGAGGCAGCAGUGGGGAAUUUUGGACAAUGGGCGAAAGCCUGAUCCAGCCAUUCCGCGUGAGUGAAGAAGGCCUUCGGGUUGUAAAGCUCUUUCGGCAGGGAAGAAACGGCCUAGGUUAAUACCUUGGGCUAAUGACGGUACCUGAAGAAGAAGCACCGGCUAUCUACGUGCCAGCCGCCGCGGUAA
rnacentral:rRNA from 1 species